UCCGGUUUGGCACCGGCAGUCUCCCUAGAGUGCCCGGCAUGACCCGCUGGUAACUAGGGACGGGGGUUGCGCUCGUUGCGGGACUUAACCCAACAUCUCACGACACGAGCUGACGACAGCCAUGCAGCACCUGUGCGCGGACUCCGAAGAGGGCCCCCCGUUUCUGGGGGGUUUCCCGCGCAUGUCAAGCCCAGGUAAGGUUCUUCGCGUUGCGUCGAAUUAAACCACAUGCUCCACCGCUUGUGCGGGCCCCCGUCGAUUCCUUUGAGUUUUAGCCUUGCGGCCGUACUCCCCAGGCGGGGCACUUAAUGCGUUAGCUUCGGCACGGACGGAGUCGACACCGCCCACACCUAGCACCCAUCGUUUACGGCGUGGACUAC
rnacentral:misc_RNA from 1 species